AAAGUAACACCAUUGAAACAAAAAUUACACUAUAAUAGAAUUACUCUAUUUUGGUGUAAAUUAUAGACAGAAAAAUAGAGUCUCAUUGAAGAUGGUUUCGUACAUAAUCGUAUACGCAUAUAUAUUAUAAAGUUUAAGUAUUAUUCUUGUUGAAAACGUCGAACAAUAACUCCCAACCAUAGUAUUGUCAACUUUUCCGCCUC
rnacentral:lncRNA from 1 species